GGUGCAGCUUCAAGCUUAGGACCACCCACCAUGCCCAUCCAGGUGCUGAAGGGUCUGACCAUCACUCGGUAAGAACAGAGGAGACUGCCUGUUACUCGUGAUGGUGAGAAGGCGGAUGUAGACAGGUGCCCAGCAAGUGCCGAGCCAGGCGCUGCCCUAAGCACUGGGCUCAUUAACCUUCUUAGUAACCCUCUUAGGGGCGGAGGUGGGAUGGGGGCGGGGGCUGGGGCUGGGUUGCAGUGAGAUGUCCAGUGUCAGGGUUCUUGAAAGGGCUGCACUUGGGGACCCCGUGAUGUCCAGCACUGGGCUCCAACUGCCCAUGAGGACACGGUGCACCCCGGGACCUUUGACACCCGGGGGUCUGAGGGGCCCCACUCCAGGAGGUGAUGGCGGGGGUGUGGCCGUUUACUCCAUUCAGUGCCUUUUCUGUGUCCUUCCCGACAGCAUCCCUCCAGACUCUCUGCUGUUUCCUGCCUAGGCGUGGCUGCAGCCAUGGGUAGGAAAGUGCUGGCACCCACCCACCUGGGCCGGAGCUGGUUCUGCUCCUGCUACAGGGACACUGAGCUGGCUAUCUCGGCACUUCGGGCAAGAACUGCAACAGGCUCUCCUGGGUCCUGCAGGUGUACAGCCGGGCCCCUGCCUUGUGCCUCAGCUCUGGAGAGCUGCUGCUGCUGGGUGACCUGAUCCAACCUGACAAGGUGCCAUCUUCAGCUACCACUGCAAGGCCCUGAGGGCAACAGCACCACAGCACUGCCCACCCGGCUGCUGAUGGCCUGGUGCCAGCUGGGAGUCCUCCCGCCACUUGGAGGCCACUGAGCCGCCCUUCCAGCCUCGGCCCACCAUGGACAGGGGUAUCCAGCUUCCUCCUCAACCUCGUCCUCUGCCCCUGAGCCAGUGACGCCCAAGGACAUGUCUGUUACCUGGCUCCUGUACCAGCGUGAGCUGGUCAAGGGCAUGACAGUGCUGGAGGCCGUCCUGGAGAUCCAGGCCAUCACUGACAGCAGGCUGCUCUCCAUGGUGCCAGGGCCCGCCAGGCCACCAGGCUCAUGCUGGGACCCAACCCAGUGCACAAGGACUUGGCUGCUGAGCCACACACCCAGGAGAAGGUGGAUAAGUGGGCUACCAAGGGCUUCCUGCAGGCUGGGGGAGGAGCUGCCCAUACACCACCAUGAGACCUGGGCCUGGCUCUCGAGGACAGGCACCACCUGGCCUGGUGCUCCAGGGGUGAAGCCGGCCAGAAUCCUAGGGGAGCUGCUCCUGGUUUGAGCUGCAGUUAGGAAGCACGGGACAUGGUAGGGGAGGCAAAAAGCCUUGGGCGCUAACCUCCCCAUGGAGCCAUUCGGCGUCCCUCGAGCUAGCCACACCCUGACACCAUGUUCAAGGGCCCUGAAAGAGAAGGAUGUCUGCCCCCAACCUCCCCCGUGGGUGUCAACUGGCCAGACGUCAUGAGGGGAGCAGGCCUCAUGAGUGGACACUUACCGUGCGUCCCUGGAGGGAGUGAUCCCCCAGGCAUCGUGUGCCAUGUUACAUUUCUGCCCAGGCAGCAGGGUAGGUGGGUACCAUGGGUGCCCAUCCCACCAGCACAUGGGGCCCCAGAGCAC
rnacentral:sRNA from 1 species